GUGAUGGGGUGUUUGUGGGCUCUGUCACACGACCAUUACCUCACUGCUGCGACUCAGAAGGAAGAGCGGAGGACAGUAAGCUGCUGAGCCUGCUUCCGGGAAGUUAUCCAGUCAACGUUACCUGUCUUCACGACAGCUCUUCUAGUAUCUGGAUCCACUGGGCCAUAAAACAGACCAGUCAGCUGCUGUUCACUGCGAACUAUUUGCUUCAUGAAAAUACUGUUCUGUCUUUACCCCAGGGUCCUUAUAAAUAGCAGAAGCCCUUCUGCUAUUUGGGAAUAAUCUCAUUUACAAAGACUAGAACACACCAGGUCUCUCUGAGGCAAGAAGUGGCUAGCUGCAGCAGAACCUGAUGGCUCUCUGGGGUAAAGCCUCCGUGAUAGAGUAGAAUGUUGUUCUGAAUAUUGAGGGAUCCUGGAUAAGGACCACGGUAAUGAUUGCCUGAGGAGAGUGGGCCUGGACUCCAAGAAGGUCCCGAGAGGCGCAGGUGGGAAAGCUCCUGGAGGCCUUGCUGAACCACAGACAUAAACUCAUACUGCUUAUUGAGAUAAGUCAUGCAAGUAUGUCCCGAAGAAUGUCCCGAAGAAGGAGAAUCCAACUGUUUCUACCCAAAGGAGAAAGGAAUGAUGGGUAAAAAUCUAUAAGGAGAGGCAGGGCUUGAGCCCCUGCUACUGCUGGAUCUGGUAAGGUCCCAAGCCCUCGCCGAGGACCUCACAGGACACCCAAAGGGCCUCGUUCUGCAGCCUCCUCAGACCCAGAGCAGCCUGAUGAGUCGGUGCCUCUCUAGACUCCAGCCUUUAGCCUGCAUUUCCUCAUUCAAGUUUUCUGAGUGUUAUUUGCUUCUGUUUCACUACAAAACAGUAACAAAACCAAUUGGUAUCAACCACAGUCUUGACCAAAAGUCCAUUUGGAUCUAAAAACACCCAGGGACAGCAGCCAGCAGGUCUUAGGUACCAAAGUAGGAACAACUGCUAAGGAUGGCCUGGACCAAAACUGAAAUUGCUGCUUCACCACCUGGUGGCUGACUGUACCACCCUAAGCAAGUGAUCCAGUCCUCAAAGUCUUCGUUUUCCCUUCCACAAAGUGACAGGGACAGCAACACCACGUCUAUGAAGCAGAAUGAUGGCAUCGCAUGAAUGCACACAGCAACUACCAAAAUGGGUCCCAGGGCCAACCACGUGCUCAUCUCCUAGGAGCUUGUGAGAGAACAUUUUUCCCCUAGACACACUAUGGGGGUCUCUGGGAUAGGACUCUGUCCCCUUCCAACCAGGGACCUCAACAAACCCUGUAAGUAUGAAAAAUCUCUGCCCUGAGGUGGCAGGUGUCAAGGAACAAGGACCAAAUGUCCUACAAGCAGGUCACAUGAUAAGAACUGCCGCCUGACCCCUUCUCUACUCCCUGCUGGGCCCCAAACUCAAAAUACCCAAGUUGCUUACCUAAAUCUAAAAAGCCCAGUCAUGUGACAUGAACCAAGAGACACAGGUGCCCUUCCAAGCAGCGCUACUUGCCUUGCAGUUCAGACCUUAAAGUGUGUGUAGUCCCUCCCAUGAGGUCACCUGGAGGACAAUGUGGCUCAGAGCUCUGGCUGUCCCAUGCAGCCUAUCAAGAAGGUAAAGGGGCUGAGUACAGCCAUUGGACCUCUGAAUACUUAAGGUUUGGAGCCUCCAGUGCAGCAAAGGGUUCCUAAGGAACAAAGGACACAGUGGGACACACUGUCAGGAGCGCGCAGGUGACUCAGCCCUCACAGGAAUCUUUGACCUGUGCAGAUAAAGGCAUUGACUCUGCUAAGAACUUCCCCAACAGGAGACGCUCAGCAACUAUAUUCUCUCUGGCCGCAGCUUCUCCAUCUGCAGGUGGGCAAGGGGAAGCACCCUAUGAGGAAAGGCUUUCGUCCCUAUGCCGGCUGCUCCAGGGUACCCACAUACACCUGCAGCAAAAGCCCUGAAAGGCCUCACCACAGGCUGCCAAGUAGAGAACACAGAUGUGUGCAGACAUUUCACAAGGAACUCAAAAUCAGACUGAAUACUGCCCCCCUCUUAUAGUGAGAGAUCCACCCAGCCACUCCUGUGGUGCUGACCACUCCUGUUUGGGCAUGAUCACAGGUGCCUACAUAAGCGUGUGGGAUUUGGUCUUGGGUCCAGGAAGAGCUUACUCUCUCUUGGUUCCAGUCAGGUCAUAUGCGGCAGCUGGGUGUUGAUCCACAGAGUUGGAACUCAUG
ensembl:lncRNA